UACGUAGGUGGCAAGCGUUGUCCGGAAUUAUUGGGCGUAAAGCGCGCGCAGGCGGUCCUUUAAGUCUGAUGUGAAAGCCCACGGCUCAACCGUGGAGGGUCAUUGGAAACUGGGGGACUUGAGUGCAGAAGAGGAGAGUGGAAUUCCACGUGUAGCGGUGAAAUGCGUAGAGAUGUGGAGGAACACCAGUGGCGAAGGCGACUCUCUGGUCUGUAACUGACGCUGAGGCGCGAAAGCGUGGGGAGCAAACGGG
rnacentral:rRNA from 1 species